rnacentral:rRNA from 1 species
CUACCAGGGUUUCUAAUCCUGUUUGCUCCCCAUGCUUUCGCUUCUCAGCGUCAGUUACAGCCCAGAGACCUGCCUUCGCCAUCGGUGUUCCUCCUGAUAUCUGCGCAUUCCACCGCUACACCAGGAAUUCCAGUCUCCCCUACUGCACUCUAGUCUGCCCGUACCCACUGCAAUACACGGGGUUAAGCCCCGGCCUUUCACAGCAGACGCGACAAACCGCCUACAAGCUCUUUACGCCCAAUAAUUCCGGACAACGCUCGCGCCCUACGUAUUACCGCGGCUGCUGGCAC